AUGACUGCUGAAUGGAGCGUUGAGAACACUCGGAUUGUCUGCGAGUUGUUUGCCGUGCCAGUGAAUGCUGGAAAUAGGCCAGGAAAUUAUUUGACACCAAGUGCAUUUGAUGAGGUGACAAGGCAAUUCAAAAUGAGAACUAGGCUUGACUACACACAAACCCAAUUGAAAAACAAAUGGGACAAGCUUAAAGGUGAGUUCAGCGUAUUCAAGAAACUCAAGUUGCGGGAGACCGGAGCCCGAUGGGACUAUGUGAACAAUACUGUGUCACAAGAUGAUGAAUGGUGGAAAAAGGCUAAAAUUGAUAUUAAAGGUUGUGGCAAGUUCAAGAAGAAAGGACUUGCUAAUGAAGAAAACAUGUGGACUAUUUUUGGAGAUAUCACAAGUGAUGGUACUGACCAUUGGAAUCCUUCUUCGGGCACACCUCCUCCCUCUAGUGCGGCCGUGAAAGCUAGUCUCAAUGUUGAUGAGAUUGAAGAUGUUGAUUUGGAUGAUACCAAAUAA
rnacentral:rRNA from 1 species